rnacentral:rRNA from 1 species
GGGGGAUAUUGCGCAAUGGAGGAAACUCUGACGCAGCAACGCCGCGUGAAGGAAGAAGGCCUUCGGGUUGUAAACUUUUGUCUUCAGGGAAGAAAAAAAUGACGGUACCUGAGGAGGAAGCCACGGCUAACUACGUGCCAGCAGCCGCGGUAAUACGUAGGUGGCGAGCGUUGUCCGGAAUUACUGGGUGUAAAGGGUGCGUAGGCGGGUAAUUAAGUCAGAUGUGAAAUGCCGAGGCUCAACUUCGGAGCUGCAUUUGAAACUGAUUAUCUUGAGUGAAGUAGAGGCAAGCGGAAUUCCCAGUGUAGCGGUGAAAUGCGUAGAUAUUGGGAGGAACACCAGUGGCGAAGGCGGCUUGCUGGGCUUUAACUGACGCUGAGGCACGAAAGCAUGGGGAGCAAAC